CUAUUGACUUUAUGAUCACAACAUUUUUUUUCCCCCAGAUGGGAAAUUAGUAGGCAUUGCUUUUAAAAUGUGCAUUCUUUUGUGUGCUUUUUAUGGCAGCUGCUUCAAGAUUUUCUUCUGCACCUGACCUUGCACUCCUGGAUUCUGCUGUGGUAUCCAGUUGUCCUAAGUGGCAGGUUAUAGACAUUUCCUCUUGUAAAAAUGGCAGCAGCAGUAUAUUAGUCCUAAAAGUGGUAUUGGAUAUUUCAAGCAUAAUGUUCCAUCAAAGAGAGGACUAAGAAACCCCUACUGACUAAGGACUAAGGACCCCUACUGUGUGGGUAGGAAGUCACUGUUAGCAUAAUCCUAAGAUUGGAAAAUAAUUAUUACCUUUAACUCUGUUGCAUCUUGCAUGUAGAUAGAAUUUUGCACAAACCCACUUGCACUUGUAUUUGUUAACAAAUAAUUGACCUAGGAGCACAUAAGUCAAUGCUGCUUGUAUAAAACUCCCAGAUGAAAAGAAACUGAAUUCCUAUGUCUUCUUCAUACUUUCUUUAUUCACUGUUUACUUUCUUCUCUGAAUUUUUCUUCUGAGUGCUGUGUCUCCAGUGUCACUUAUAAAUAAUAUCAUAAAUGAGUGACUCCAUUUUUCUCAUUUAAUCAUUCAUUGAAGUAAAGCAUGGGAUGUUAGGGAAUGUGUGUUCAGUAAUUCACUGUGCAUUUGAGAGUAGGGAUAAUAUGUGGACUUCUCAUUGCAGGAAGCCAGCAGACAGGCUGUAGAGCUUGCUGCUCAUACAGCAGUUGGGAACAUGGAGGCAGGUGGCUAGAUCUGCUUUUUUUUCUACUGGAACAUCCUAAUGUCCAUUUUAUUAUUUCUUCUUCUUUCUGUAGAGCAUUUCUGGGUUGAAUGUUUUCCAGAUUGUGCACAGAUGGAACUGUACUUCAGUUAGGAUGACCUUGUAGGAAAAGCACAGGAUGGGGAAUCAGAAUAUCUGAGAGCUCUUCCUUACUCUGCUGUAGAUGUCUGUCAUAAGCUUCAGUAAGCCCCUGGUCUUUCUUUAGUUUUCCUCCUUGCAUAAUAUCUAAGCCACAGAGAAAAUAUGAGAUUUAAAUAAAUUUGUCUCUCCUGGCGCCAAGUAUUUCUUGGAUAGAAGGUACUAUGGAAAUACAAGAUAUUAAUUCUUUGACAUUUUUAAAAAGGAGAUUGACUAAAAAAGUUUUUGUUUCUUCUUUGUUGAGGUUUUAUGUGCACAAAAGCAGAAUGGUAGUUAUUGGUACCAAACUGAUCAGAUCUGAGUCAGUAAGAUAAAGUUCCAGAUACAUAAAGAAAUGGGGAAAGAAUCUUGGCUAAGUUUCAACAUGCACCACUGAGAAGAGCCUGGAUGCCUUGUCAAUAACCUCUGUGGGUAUGGGCAGGCUGCUGUUAGGUCUCCCUGAAGUUGCUUCUUCUCCAGCUGAACAAGUCCUGGUUCCUCAGCCUCUCCUCACAGGGCAAGUGCUUCAGCACCCAACUAUCAUGGUGGCCCUUCACUGGACUUGUUCAUCUUUCUUGUACUGGGGAAACCAAACUGGAUGCAGUUGGUCUAACAGGUGCUCAGUGGAGGAGAAUAAUCACUUCCCUCAGUCUUCUGGCUAUGCUUCUGUUAACAGAGCCCCAGAUGCUGUUGGCCUUCUUUACUUGCCUGGGCACACUGUUCAGCACGUGGUCUACCAAGAUUCCCAGGUCCUCUUCAGCAAAGCUGCUUUCCUGCUUGCCAGGAGGCACAUUGAAAAGUUCAGGACACAAAAUGAAGACCUGAAAUAUUUUAUUCCAAUUUUCAGACAGGACAUUUGGCAUAUUUUUUUCCUUCUGUUUUCUUUGGACAAUGAAAACACAAUUACAUUGAUCUAAUUUUGGAAAGAACCAGGAUUUUGAAAGAACUGAAUAUGAUUCUGUCUAUGUUUCUUAAAUCAGUGCUAGCUGCCAACUAUCCUCCUUCUCAGGAAGCUACUUCCUCAAAUGCUUUAACUGAUAAUAUUGCAUUUAUUUAGUUGAGUUUGAUUGAAAUCUGUGUUAUGUUUCUUAUACUUUACUGUGAUUUUAUGGGAGAGAAAAGUACAACAUGUUAAUUGCCUGCACAGGGAGAAAAAUAAGAGGAGGCAUCUUGAAGCAAAAAAAGUACCUGUCAGACGUCUAGCAGUUAUUCUUUGAUAACUGACUUGUAAAACAGGGAUAAG